rnacentral:rRNA from 1 species
CCUACGGGCGGCAGCAGUGAGGAAUAUUGGUCAAUGGCCGGAAGGCUGAACCAGCCAAGCCGCGUGAGGGAGGAAGGCGCAGAGCGUCGCAGACCUCUUUUGCCGGGGGACAAAAGGCCGGACGGGUCCGGUUCUGAGGGUACCCGGAGAAAAAGCAUCGGCUAACUCCGUGCCAGCAGCCUCGGUAAUACGGAGGAUGCGAGCGUUAUCCGGAUUCAUUGGGUUUAAAGGGUGCGCAGGCGGGCCUUUAAGCCGGCGGUGAAAUCGCGGGGCUCAACCCCGCCGAGCCGGCGGAACUGGGGGCCUUGAGUGCGGCGGAGGCAUGCGGAAUGCGCGGUGUAGCGGUGAAAUGCAUAGAUAUCGCGCAGAACACCGAUUGUGAAGGCAGCUUACCAAUCUAUAUCUGACGUUGAGGCACGAAAGCGUGGGGAGCAAACAGGAUUAGAUACCCGAGUAGUC